rnacentral:rRNA from 1 species
GACGAACGCUGGCGGCGCGCCUAACACAUGCAAGUCGAACGAGAGAGGAAGAGCUUGCUUUUCCGAUCGAGUGGCGAACGGGUGAGUAACGCGUGAGGAACCUGCCUCAAAGAGGGGGACAACAGUUGGAAACGACUGCUAAUACCGCAUAAGCCCACGGCUCGGCAUCGAGCAGAGGGAAAAGGAGCAAUCCGCUUUGAGAUGGCCUCGCGUCCGAUUAGCUAGUUGGUGAGGUAACGGCCCACCAAGGCGACGUUCGGUAGCCGGACUGAGAGGUUGAACGGCCACAGUGGGACUGAGACACGGCCCAGACGCCUACGGGAGGCAGCAGUGGGGAAUAUUGCACAAUGGGGGAAACCCUGAUGCAGCGACGCCGCGUGGAGGAAGAAGGUCUUCGGAUUGUAAACUCCUGUUGUUGAGGAAGAUAAUGACGGUACUCAACAAGGAAGUGACGGCUAACUACGUGCCAGCAGCCGCGGUAA